UACAGAGGGUGCGAGCGUUAAUCGGAAUUACUGGGCGUAAAGCGCACGUAGGUGGCGACGUAAGCCGGGUGUGAAAGCCCCGGGCUCAACCUGGGAAUUGCAUUCGAGACUGCAUUGCUGGAGUACGGAAGAGGAGGGCGGAAUUCCCGGUGUAGCGGUGAAAUGCGUAGAUAUCGGGAGGAACAUCAGUGGCGAAGGCGGCCCUCUGGUCCAGUACUGACACUCAAGUGCGAAAGCGUGGGGAGCAAACAGG
rnacentral:rRNA from 1 species